ACCAAUCCUCCACGCUUCUCGAGCCCCAAGUCCCUCCCCCUCUCCGCUCUCCACUCCUCCUGCUUCCGUGCACAGCCGCCACCUCCCGGCCCCUCCCCGCUCUCUCCAUCGCGCCAGAGCAGCCCCGCCCGGAGGCCUUCCCGCCCCCUUGAGGAGCCCCCGUCCCUGCCCCGCGCUGGAGUUCAGCGGUGCGGGAGGAGCGGAUCGACGACGGCGAGGAUGAGAGAUCGAGGAGGGAAGGAGAGGGGAAACGAGGGUGGAGCGGAGGUCAAGCAUCAACAUCGGAGACGCGGUUCCGAGGCAGAGCAGGAGAGGUGAUGCCGGCCAGCCGCCGCCUCACCACCGGCUGCGCUGGACCGCGGCAAGAAGGAACCACCUCUCUGCCUCUUUCUCUCUUCCUCUUUCUUUCUUACUCAUGCCUAUUACCUUUGCUGCCAAUACUGAUUCUGGAUUGGGCGCAGGAUUCAUGAUGGGUGUGGAGGAGCCGAGGAAGGGUGGGGAGGGCAUAUGUGCGAAGGAGUGCUCAGGUCAUGGUGGAAUGGAGUCGGUCAUCACUGCCUACCGCUUGGUCGUCGUGCCCCAUCCCCAAUGUUGGCCGCACAUCUUCAGCUUCACCAUCUUUCUCUAUUCUUUUACCCCUUGAUUCGCCUGGUUCUUUGAUAAUCUGAUUUCGAUUUCUCGAUUUAUGCUUUUCCUAAAUAAGAUGUGUGCAGAUUGAAUGAAGAUGACAAGAGGGAGACUGAAGAACAAGAUUUCAUGAUGCUUCGCUAUCAUUCAAAAUCAAAGGAGGAAUCAAUGGUUUGGACAACAAUGAUGACGUUUGAUUUUUUUUCUUGGUGUAGAUGGCUAAUAUGAAUAAUUAUAUUAGGACUGCUGCGAUGUACGGUAUCAUGUAAUGUUGCUUCACGGUGAUGAUUUGUUCAUGCUCCUCUUUUAGUUAAAUUAUAAAUUUUGUUGCAGUUUUGGAUGUUUACACAGUUGCUUUUGUUGCUUCCUGGAUUUUGUUAGAUGCAUUCGACCAUCAAGAAUCAGUAUUGGCAGCAAAGGUAAGAGGCACAAGUAAGAACAUCUCCUCUACUAUACCUAUUUGGCGGCUUACAGUGGUUUGUUCUCUGAAUUUGUUUUGCAAGUCAGUAACAAAGGUUACCGCGUGAUUGCGCAUCACAUGUGGUAGUGAUGAUCCUUGCUAGAUUGAAGGUGUUCCCACAUGUCAUGCGGAAUUAAGCAGUAGGCAGGAAACAAGCCACUAGCACAAGCAUAAGCGAACCAGUAUAUUCUUGAUUAGGAGUUUUCUUAGCUUCUUGCUAAUUCUUGGUUUUAUAUAUGCCCAAACCAAUGACUGCUGCUUUAAUAUAUGUACUUCAGAUUCUAGGAGAGCACCUCUUGCGAUUUACAAAUGUACUUCGGAUUCUAGCAGAGGACGACGGCUCGUGCGGUGGUGUCGGCAAACGAUGGCCUCAGUGGGUGGACGCCGACACAUGCAGCUGGUGCACGAUGGUGACUUCAUGGAGCUCAUGUUCCAAGCAACCCUCUCCUUGUUGGCUCAGGAGGUUCGCGAUCGAGCUUGGGCUGCUGAUACCUCUUCCUCGCCGCCCAACAGGAAUAGCAUGAGAUGAGCAGCCAAUCCCUCAUUCCUAGCUUUCAUACCAAGAUUCUGUGCACCGGUUCCCCUACGGUUGAAGAUGGAGAGCCAUUGGUAUUAGAGAGGGGGAAGGGAUGUAGAGACGGAAGCAGCUUCACUUGCCCCGUCUCCCACCCCAUUGCCGAUGCAGCGGUCGAAGGAGUUGCGGACCUCGCCAACAAGCCUGUGACCCUGCAUCAGGUGAGAAAAAUGCCCUGUAUUUAUUUCACAUCCUUGGGUGAUGGCUAAGCAUGGCAUGUUCUUAUUGGUUCAGGUUUGUCUUCCGGUUCUUUUCAGCGAUGGCUUGAUGUACGCACUGGAAACCUCCUAUGGCAAGUAUUUGGCAUGCCUCUGUUUGAGAGAUGAGAUGUGAAGAAAUGGCGUUCAGGGAGAAGGAGCAGGCGUUGAGGAGUGCGAGCAACAGGUUUUGGUGACUGGAUGUCUGAAACUGAAGAGAGGGAAAUUAUUAUUUGUUUCUGAUUGGUUGGAGAUCUUGUGGCUUGUUGUCCCUGGAGCAGUCGCACCCUACCAAGAAAGUAUAUGCAGGUAUAUUGAUGGAACAUGCAUCAAUGACUCUGCCUAAUGUUGAUGACUACAUGUUUUGAUCUGACAUAUCAACAGAAGAUAAAAAACUCAACCACGAGCUGGAAGAUUAGGGCUAUCUAUAUGAUAUAUGGCUACCUAUAUAGCUUGCUUUCUAAAACCAAUGUAUAAGCUAUCAUGAACUGUGCUGACAACUUUUUUUUGGACUACCAUGCUACCUCCUUUAUGUAGAUGGAAGAGGCAAGAUCAAUCUGAAGGGCUUGGGGUACUACAAUAACUUAAUAGAUGUGUUGAUAUGGCGCAGUAAAGAUUGAUUUCUCUAUCUAAAACUGAUGUAAAGAUGUUGCAGUAGUGACAAGCUUUCUUUUCCUUAUUGCAAGCUUGCGAAAUUCACUUCGAUGUCUGAUCUCGAUCAACCUAUACUUCUUGGCAUGUGUUGCAGGCAUACAAUCUCAUGUCACAAUCUACGAGUUGGAUCUCUCUCGGUUCAUUCAGGAUGAUUACAAGGACUGCUCAGCCCCACCAUGAAGAGUUGCUUAAACGAUGAAAUCGUGUUCGGUACAUAUGGGACAUCCAACAAUGACUACCUAAUACAACCACUUUUAUGUCUUGGUCUUUCUUGCUGGCAGCAGAUACAAGACUCAGCGAAAUGUUAAGAGAUAAGCACUAUAUCUAUGAUACAUCUAUGCUAAUAUAACUUGCUUGAUAAAGCCAAUGUAAGCUAUCAUCAAGUGAUCUCAUAUUUUUUUUGAGCUAUCAUGCUACCAUGUAAUAGAACAUACAAACAUGUGUACCUAAGUAUCUACAAUGUUUGAGAAA